rnacentral:rRNA from 1 species
GAUGAACGCUGGCGGCGUGCCUAAUACAUGCAAGUCGAGCGAACGGACGAGAAGCUUGCUUUUCUGAUGUUAGCGGCGGACGGGUGAGUAACACGUGGAUAACCUACCUAUAAGACUGGGAUAACUUCGGGAAACCGGAGCUAAUACCGGAUAAUAUUUUGAACCGCAUGGUUCAAAAGUGAAAGACGGUCUUGCUGUCACUUAUAGAUGGAUCCGCGCUGCAUUAGCCAGUUGGUAAGGUAACGGCUUACCAAGGCAACGAUGCAUAGCCGACCUGAGAGGGUGAUAGGCCACACUGGAACUGAGACACGGUCCAGACUCCUACGGGAGGCAGCAGUAGGGAAUCUUCCGCAAUGGGCGAAAGCCUGACGGAGCAACGCCGCGUGAGUGAUGAAGGUCUUCGGAUCGUAAAACUCUGUUAUUAGGGAAGAACAUAUGUGUAAGUAACUGUGCACAUCUUGACGGUACCUAAUCAGAAAGCCACGGCUAACUACGUG